rnacentral:rRNA from 1 species
AACGAACGCUGGCGGCAGGCUUAACACAUGCAAGUCGAACGGUUGUAGCAAUACAGCAGUGGCGCACGGGUGAGUAACGCGUGGAUAUCUGCCUUUUGGUUCGGAAUAACUCCGGGAAACUGGAGCUAAUACCGGAUGGUUCCUACGGGAUAAAGAUUUAUCGCCAAAAGAUGAGUCCGCGUACGAUUAGCUAGUUGGUGAGGUAAUGGCUCACCAAGGCGACGAUCGUUAGCUGGUCUGAGAGGACGAUCAGCCACACUGGGACUGAGACACGGCCCAGACUCCUACGGGAGGCAGCAGUGGGGAAUAUUGGACAAUGGGGGCAACCCUGAUCCAGCCAUGCCGCGUGAGUGAUGAAGGCCUCGGGUUGUAAAGCUCUUUGGUCGGGGACGGAUGAUGACGGUACCCGCAGAAUAAGCCCCGGCUAACUUCGUGCCAGCAGCCGCGGUAAU